AACGAACGCUGGCGGCGUGCCUAACACAUGCAAGUCGAACGAGAAAGGGACUUCGGUCCUGAGUAAAGUGGCGCACGGGUGAGUAACACGUAGGUAACCUGCCUCUAAGUUUGGGAUAACCUGUCGAAAGACGAGCUAAUACCAAAUAAGACCACGGUCUCUUUGGAGACAGGGGUCAAAGGUAGCCUCUAUUUAUAAGCUAUCGCUAAGAGAUGGGCCUGCGUACCAUUAGCUAGUUGGUGAGGUAACGGCUCACCAAGGCAAAGAUGGUUAGCUGGUCUGAGAGGAUGAUCAGCCACACUGGAACUGAGACACGGUCCAGACUCCUACGGGAGGCAGCAGUGGGGAAUAUUGCGCAAUGGGCGAAAGCCUGACGCAGCAACGCCGCGUGAGUGAUGAAGGCCUUCGGGUCGUAAAGCUCUGUCGGAGGGAACGAAUGCUCCCGAGGUAAACAGCCUCGGGAAGUGACGGUACCCUCAAAGGAGCACC
rnacentral:rRNA from 1 species